rnacentral:lncRNA from 1 species
CUCUUGUGUCAGACAGCCGAUGGAGUGCUCGCCGCCUUCUCCAUUCCCGCGGGCCGCAGGCCUGGAGACGAGGUCCUGUUCCGCGUGAGUUACUUCUGAAAGGUGUGUUUGGUUCUGUUCGCGAAAGACAACGUGUCAUCUUUCCGCGAGCUUCCUGCUUCAAACAGACGAGUGGAAGCCAGCGCUGUGUCGCCCUUCUCGACGAGGACUGAACUCUUCUUCUCGCAGAAAAACGAGAUGCUUGCCAACCCCAACCUUCUUGGUCUCGACAGGCUUUCUUCUGUCGCUUCUCCCAAGGCGAAGACGGCUUCCCCGCCAACUGUGAGCUUCUCUUCGGCCGCGGCACUCACGAGGAAAGACCAUUUUGGCAACCAGGAGCCGCGCUCCGCCCACUCCCCGCCCGAAGUUCGGGUGUACGUACACCCUGGAGCUGCGGGGACACCCGGGAUGACGACUCGUGGGCGUGGCGAACUUCGCAUGUCGAAUGUCCCCGCGGGAAUUCCUCUGUAACGUUCCCUCUGCUUCUCCUUGGUCGCCUUCAUCUGUCGCCGCCUUCUUCAGCUCCUGUUCGUGUUCUUCGGUUCGCUCAAGAGACACACAAAUCAUUCGUUAUCUCAGAUAGUUAUCCGUCUCCAAGAAGUUCUCAUUCUCGUCCUGGCGACGUUGGUACGAGGCGCAGCGCGAUUGCCUAUUCUGCAAGUUGCGAGCCAGAAGAAAGCUCACAGGAGGAG